rnacentral:rRNA from 1 species
CCUACGGGUGGCAGCAGUGGGGAAUAUUGCACAAUGGGGGAAACCCUGAUGCAGCGACGCCGCGUGAGUGAAGAAGUAUUUCGUUAUGUAAAGCUCUAUCAGCAGGGAAGAAAAUGACGGUACCUGAGUAAGAAGCCCCGGCUAACUACGUGCCAGCAGCCGCGGUAAUACGUAGGGGGCAAGCGUUAUCCGGAUUUACUGGGUGUAAAGGGAGCGUAGACGGUGGGACAAGUCUGGAGUGAAAUGCCGGGGCUUAACUGCGGAACUGCUUUGGAAACUGGGGAGCUAGAGUGCGGGAGGGGUAAGUGGAAUUCCUAGUGUAGCGGUGAAAUGCGUAGAUAUUAGGAGGAACACCAGUGGCGAAGGCGGCUUACUGGACUGUAACUGACGUUGAGGCUCGAAAGCGUGGGGAGCAAACAGGAUUAGAUACCCGGGUAGUC